UCUCUUCUUCGACGGUAUUCAGCAGCGCUAUAAAUACGGGCGCGCUAGUCAGUGCGCUCUCUCACUUUUGCGAUGUUUGAGUGGAAGAACAUCAGGGCGUAUAAGAAUGUGAAACUCAGGCUGCUACAGAAAGGAGGCUGAAUGUGGUCUGGAUGUCCAGCUGCUGCAGCUCUGAUGAUAAGGUAAAUGUUCAAAGAUCUGGAAGGUCGAUCAAGAUUCGGGAUCGUCCUGUUGUGGGAAAGCUGUGUGAAGCUCUACGGAAAUAAAGUUCUCCUGCCUUUAUGUAAAUUUGAGUACUCCACUUUCAGUGCUCGCUGUUAAGUUUAUACAUUUAAGUUUAUUUAUUUUCCUCCCUUCAGUAAAAACUUGGGCUGUUCUUUAAAAAUAAAAAUAUAACCCUCUAAAAA